rnacentral:rRNA from 1 species
GUGGGGAAUAUUGCGCAAUGGGCGAAAGCCUGACGCAGCAACGCCGUGUGAGGGAUGAAGGCUUUCGGGUCGUAAACCUCUGUCAGAAGGGAAGAACGGGCAUUGGUCUAAUAGGCCUUUGUUUUGACGGUACCUUCAGAGGAAGCACCGGCUAACUCCGUGCCAGCAGCCGCGGUAAUACGGAGGGUGCAAGCGUUAUUCGGAAUUACUGGGCGUAAAGCGCACGUAGGCCGCUUUGUAAGUCAGGGGUGAAAUCCCACGGCUCAACCGUGGAACUGCCCUUGAAACUGCGAAGCUUGAAUCCUGGAGAGGGUGGCGGAAUUCCUGGUGUAGGAGUGAAAUCCGUAGAUAUCAGGAGGAACACCGGUGGCGAAGGCGGCCACCUGGACAGGUAUUGACGCUGAGGUGCGAAAGUGUGGGGAGCAAACAGGAUUAGAAACCCGGGUAGUCC